UACGUAGGGUGCAAGCGUUACUCGGAAUUACUGGGCGUAAAGCGCGCGUAGGCGGUUUGUUAAGUCUGCUGUGAAAGCCCCGGGCUCAACCUGGGAAUGGCAAUGGAUACUGGCAAGCUAGAGUGCGGUAGAGGAUAGUGGAAUUCCCGGUGUAGCGGUGAAAUGCGUAGAGAUCGGGAGGAACACCAGUGGCGAAGGCGGCUACCUGGACCGGCACUGACGCUGAGGCACGAAAGCGUGGGGAGCAAACAGG
rnacentral:rRNA from 1 species